rnacentral:rRNA from 1 species
UACGAAGGGGGCUAGCGUUGCUCGGAAUCACUGGGCGUAAAGGGUGCGUAGGCGGGUCUUUAAGUCAGGGGUGAAAUCCUGGAGCUCAACUCCAGAACUGCCUUUGAUACUGAGGAUCUUGAGUUCGGGAGAGGUGAGUGGAACUGCGAGUGUAGAGGUGAAAUUCGUAGAUAUUGGGAAGAACACCGGUGGCGAAGGCGGCUCUCUGGACCGACACUGACGCUGAGGCGCGAAAAGCGUGGGGGAGCAAACAGGGGAUUAA